UUUCUAGCGGAUCCAGUGGCCUUCUUUGCACUCAUCUGUUAAAUGAAAGACACUUGAACACAAGUCUAGGAGCUAGAAUCAGAAUCUACAUUGAACUAGAUAGGAAACUAAUUCAACAUACAGAAGGCAUGUGCAGUAUAAAGAUUAGAGACUAGAACUAGAUUAAUAUGUAGCUGCCACAACAAGAAUGAUUAAUUCCAACAGGAUAAUCAGGUCCAUAUAUUUAAGUCAAGCCGGGAGCAUGGAGCAGCAAUAGCCUUCCCACUUCUUUCUUGUCCAUGCCAGGAGCCAACAGGAUAAUCAGGUCCAUAUAUUUAAGUCAAGCCAGGAGCACGGAGCAGCAAUAGCCUUCCCACUUCUGUCUUGUCCAUGCCAGGAGCUUGCUAGCGUUCGAAACCAGCAGUUUCUGUAACAAGUAAC
rnacentral:lncRNA from 1 species